rnacentral:rRNA from 1 species
AAAUUGAAGAGUUUGAUCAUGGCUCAGAUUGAACGCUGGCGGCAGGCCUAACACAUGCAAGUCGAACGGUAACAGGAAGAAGCUUGCUUCUUUGCUGACGAGUGGCGGACGGGGGAGUAAUGUCUGGGAAACUGCCUGAUGGAGGGGGAUAACUACUGGAAACGGUAGCUAAUACCGCAUAACGUCGCAAGACCAAAGAGGGGGACCUUCGGGCCUCUUG